CCUCUUCCGUACGGUGAACCUGCGGAAGGAUCAUUAUCGAGUUUUGAAUGGGUUGUCUGCUGGCUCGCAAGGGCAUGUGCACGCCUGUCUCAUCCACUCUCAACUUCUGUGCACUUUUCAUAGGCCGGCUUGUGGGUGCGUUCGCGCACUUGUAGGUGUCGGGCUUAUGCUUUACUACAAACGAUUCAGUUUUAGAAUGUCAUACUUUGCUAUAACGCAAUUAUAUACAACUUUCAGCAACGGAUCUCUUGGCUCUCGCAUCGAUGAAGAACGCAGCGAAAUGCGAUAAGUAAUGUGAAUUGCAGAAUUCAGUGAAUCAUCGAAUCUUUGAACGCACCUUGCGCUCCUUGGUAUUCCGAGGAGCAUGCCUGUUUGAGUCUCAUGGAAUUCUCAACCUUCAGCUUUAUUGAUGAAGGCUUGGACUUGGAGGUCGUGCCGGCUCUCGUAGUCGGCUCCUCUGAAAUGCAUUAGUGCGAACGUUACCAGCCGCUUCAGCGUGAUAAUUAUCUGCGUUGCUGUGGAGGGUAUUCUAGUGUUCACGCUUCUAACCGUCUUCGGACAAAUUUCUGAACUCUGAGCUCAAAUCAGGUAGGACUACCCGCUGAACUUAAGCAUAUCAAUAAGCCGGAGGAAGA
rnacentral:rRNA from 1 species